AACAUCGCGCACCUGCGGGAACCUGCGGAAGGAUCAUUAAUGAUUGGCGGCUGUUGCUGACUAGUGUUUCUAGUAUGUGCACGCCACACCUUCAAUCCCACUUACACCUGUGCACCUUCUGUAAUAGAUCUAUGUGGAUACGGAGAUAUGAAAGUUUGCGCUCUCGUACUCUGUUGAAGCAGUCUACUACGUUUUUUUACACACACACAAUAGUCAUUGAAUGUAUUUUUUAUUCUUAUG
rnacentral:misc_RNA from 1 species